rnacentral:rRNA from 1 species
AAAGCGUGCGCAGGCGGUUUUGUAAGUUUGUCGUGAAAUCCCCGGGCUCAACCUGGGAAUGGCGAUGAAGACUGCAAGGCUAGAAUCUGGCAGAGGGGGGUAGAAUUCCACGUGUAGCAGUGAAAUGCGUAGAGAUGUGGAGGAACACCGAUGGCGAAGGCAGCCCCCUGGGUCAAGAUUGACGCUCAUGCACGAAAGCGUGGGGAGCAAACAGGAUUAGAUACCCCUGU